GGCGUUGGAGCCAGACGGCACGGCAACCGCCUGCAAAGCGGUUUUGAAGUGGGUUCGACUCCCACCGGCGCCU
rnacentral:tRNA from 1 species